GAUGAACGCUAGCGGCAGGCUUAAUACAUGCAAGUCGUGGGGCAGCAUGAGUAGCAAUACUUGAUGGCGACCGGCAAACGGGUGAGGAACACGUACACAACCUUCCUUCAAGCGGGGAAUAGCCCAGAGAAAUUUGGAUUAAUACCCCAUAAUAUAUUUGAUAAGGCAUCUAUUAAUAUUAAAGCUUCGGCACUUGAUGAUGGUGUGCGGCUGAUUAGAUAGUUGGCGGGUAACGGCCCACCAAGUCUACGAUCAGUAGCUGAUGUGAGAGCAUGAUCAGCCACACGGGUCACUGAGACACGGGCCCGACU
rnacentral:rRNA from 1 species